UACGAAGGGGGCUAGCGUUGUUCGGAAUUACUGGGCGUAAAGCGAACGUAGGCGGUGUUCCAUGUCAGAGGUGAAAGCCUGGGGCUCAACUCCAGAAUUGCCUUUGAAACGGGGACGCUUGAGUCCGAGAGAGGAUGGCGGAAUUCCUAGUGUAGAGGUGAAAUUCGUAGAUAUUAGGAAGAACACCGGUGGCGAAGGCGGCUAUCUGGCUCGGUACUGACGCUCAGGUUCGAAAGCGUGGGGAGCAAACAGG
rnacentral:rRNA from 1 species